rnacentral:lncRNA from 1 species
AUAGACGUUGGCUAGAAGGGGUACCGACAUCUAUGUGCCUGUAAGUAAUGAUGUGCAUCAUUAUAGACGUCGGCGCCCCAUCACAACUGUCGUCAACAUCCUUGACAGGAAAUCAAAUGUCAAUCGUUUCAGCUUCCUAGACGUCGGUUCCCCUUGUGACCGAUGUCUAGUGGGAUUCAAAAGGUCAGUUGAAAAGUUAACUUGGACGUCGAAUUAGUAACAGAGCUGAUGUUUAUAGUCAUAUAGACGUCGGCUAUCUGGAGAACCCGACGCCCAGUUUCAUUUUAAAAAGACCGCAAACUCUUCGCGACAUUCAGUUUCUGAUAUCUUCCUCUUCCUCUUCUCCAUUUUCUCUCACGACACUCUUCUUUUUCUUCCUUUCGGCACGUCUUCUUUUUGUUGCAGCAUUCUAUUGUUGUUUCUGAUAUCUUUAUCGUCUUCCUCCUCUCUUUUUCUCUCUUGCGGCAUUGCAUCCCAGGUGCGUGAUUUUUUUUAUGCUUACCAUUUGUUUAGUCUUUCAUCGAUUAUCUUCUGGUUCAACUAAUUAAAAUUUGCUUUCUUUGUGUUGUGUUUUAGUGCAGUUUUGUUCCUUUCUUGGGAUAACGUAGUAACACAUUCUCCCUUUGCUAGCUGCCUCCCGGAAAUAGCGACGUCUUUUGAAUUUCUUUUGAUCGUUUCAACCCAAAAACGA